rnacentral:rRNA from 1 species
GAUUAGGUAGUUGGCGGGGCAACGGCCCACCAAGCCGACGAUCGGUAGCCGGACUGAGAGGUUGAACGGCCACAUUGGGACUGAGACACGGCCCAGACUCCUACGGGAGGCAGCAGUGAGGGAUAUUGGUCAAUGGGGGAAACCCUGAACCAGCAACGCCGCGUGAGGGAAGACGGUUUUCGGAUUGUAAACCUCUGUCCUCUGUGAAGAUGAUGACGGUAGCAGAGGAGGAAGCUCCGGCUAACUACGUGCCAGCAGCCGCGGUAAUACGUAGGGAGCAAGCGUUGUCCGGAUUUACUGGGUGUAAAGGGUGCGUAGGCGGCUUUGCAAGUCAGAAGUGAAAUCCAUGGGCUUAACCCAUGAACUGCUUUUGAAACUGCAGAGCUUGAGUGGAGUAGAGGUAGGCGGAAUUCCCGGUGUAGCGGUGAAAUGCGUAGAGAUCGGGAGGAACACCAGUGGCGAAGGCGGCCUGCUGGGCUCUAACUGACGCUGAGGCACGAAAGCGUGGGUAGCAAACAGGAUUAGAUACCCUGGUAGUCCACGCUGUAAACGAUGAUUACUAGGUGUGGGUGGACUGACCCCAUCC